CUGCGAAUGGCUCAUUAUAUAAGUUAUCGUUUAUUUGAUAGUGCCUUACUACUUGGAUAACCGUGGUAAUUCUAGAGCUAAUACAUGCUGAAAUUCCCGACUUCGGAAGGGAUGUGUUUAUUAGAUUAAAAACCAAUGCCCUCUGGGCUCCUUGGUGAUUCAUGAUAACUGUUCGAAUCGCAUGGCCUUGCGCCGGCGAUGGUUCAUUCAAAUUUCUUCCCUAUCAACUUUCGAUGUUUGGGUAUUGGCCAAACAUGGUUGCAACGGGUAACGGAGGGUUAGGGCUCGACCCCGGAGAAGGAGCCUGAGAAACGGCUACUACAUCCAAGGAAGGCAGCAGGCGCGCAAAUUACCCAAUCCCGAUCCGGGGAGGUAGUGACAAUAAAUACUGAUACAGGGCUCUUUUGGGUCUUGUAAUUGGAAUGAGUACAAUUUAAAUCCCUUAACGAGGAACAAUUGGAGGGCAAGUCUGGUGCCAGCAGCCGCGGUAAUUCCAGCUCCAAUAGCGUAUAUUAAAGUUGUUGUGGUUAAAAAGCUCGUAGUUGAACCUUGGGCCUGGCUGGCCGGUCCGCCUCACCGCGUGCACUGGUCCGGCCGGGUCUUUCCCUCUGCGGAACCCCAUGCCCUUCACUGGGCGUGGCGGGGAAGCAGGACUUUUACUUUGAAAAAAUUAGAGUGCUUCAGGCAGGCCUAUGCUCGAAUACAUUAGCAUGGAAUAAUGAAAUAGGACGCGCGGUUCUAUUUUGUUGGUUUCUGGGACCGCCGUAAUGAUUAAUAGGGACAGUCGGGGGCAUCAGUAUUCAAUCGUUAGAGGUGAAAUUCUUGGAUCGAUUGAAGACUAACUACUGCGAAAGCAUUUGCCAAGGAUGUUUUCAUUAAUCAGGAACGAAAGUUAGGGGAUCGAAGACGAUCAGAUACCGUCGUAGUCUUAACCAUAAACUAUGCCGACUAGGGAUCGGACGACGUUAUUUUUUGACUCGUUCGGCACCUUACGAGAAAUCAAAGUGCUUGGGCUCCAGGGGGAGUAUGGUCGCAAGGCUGAAACUUAAAGAAAUUGACGGAAGGGCACCACCAGGGGUGGAGCCUGCGGCUUAAUUUGACUCAACACGGGGAAACUCACCAGGUCCAGACACAAUGAGGAUUGACAGAUUGAGAGCUCUUUCUUGAUUUUGUGGGUGGUGGUGCAUGGCCGUUCUUAGUUGGUGGAGUGAUUUGUCUGCUUAAUUGCGAUAACGAA
rnacentral:rRNA from 1 species